rnacentral:rRNA from 1 species
UACGUAGGGGGCAAGCGUUGUCCGGAAUCAUUGGGCGUAAAGAGCGUGUAGGCGGCUUGUCACGUCGGAUGUGAAAGCCCGAGGCUUAACCUCGGGUCUGCAUUCGAUACGGGCUAGCUAGAGUGUGGUAGGGGAGAUCGGAAUUCCUGGUGUAGCGGUGAAAUGCGCAGAUAUCAGGAGGAACACCGGUGGCGAAGGCGGAUCUCUGGGCCAUUACUGACGCUGAGGAGCGAAAGCGUGGGGAGCGAACAGG